rnacentral:rRNA from 1 species
AAGCACGUAGGUGGGUUUGUAAGUCAGAUGUGAAAGCCUUCUGUUCAAAGGAAGAACGGCAUCUGAAACUGCAGAUCUUGAGUGUAGGAGGGGAGAGUGGAACUUCUGGUGGAGCGGUGAAAUGCGUAGAUAUCAGAAGGAACGUCGGCGGCGAAAGCGACUCUCUGGCCUAUUACUGACACUGAGUGUGCGAAAGUUGGGGGAGCAAACGGGAUUAGAUACCCCGGUAGUCCUAACUGUAAACGAUGGGCACUAAGUAGAGGGGUUUU